ACGUGUUGCACGGUGACACGCUGCGUAUCGUUUUCUUGUUCAGACGGUCUCGUGACUCCUUCUGGUCCGUGACGGCACAAAAGCCGCCAGUCCGGUUGUGGUGCCUGCUCGACGAGUGUUGUGGGACUAGAUAAUGAGCAUCUCAGACUGUGAUGGACGCCAUGCAGACCUGGAGCUUCCUCCACAGUGGGAAAGAUGCAAGACCCUCAAGGUUACAGUCACACAACCACAGACCUUCGCAUGGGUGGCUGCGGCUUGUGCGAGCGCGACGUCCCGGGACCCCUGCAGCAUGACGGACAUCUCUGAUAGACUCAUAUCACGCAUGACAGAGUAACCCAAGACGUGGCCUAAUUAGCAGCUUCCAAUUAUUCGCCGAGGAACGACGCCAAGGCUUCACCGGCAAUAAUGUGAGUAAUGGCUAAAUUGCGGCAAGUCUAUUGAAGAAAAUUGAGGAGAGGGAAGAAAUCGGCGGCCGAUGGAGAGCCGGAAGAGAGGGAACCCGGGGCUAAAAGGCUGCGGGGGAGACAAUGAAAAGGUCUGACUUCAUUUACCUGCAGAAAUAUGUCAUAUUCACACUGAGAUGGAAACACAAAGGUCAUACCUCACUUGGGUCACCAUUCAACAAGCUAGGCUUCUCUUCACUUUUCAUUUGCUCAUGGCCUCCAUCACUGUGAUCACAGUCAGUUUGCUUCCUUCCCUCCUUCCCUGCUUGCUGCUGGCUAAAGAAGCAGGCAACGAUCACUCGGCUCCUAUACAGGCCAACACAACUCUUCUCUCUUCCAUAUUUCUUAUAUGACCUGAGAGAUGAUACC